rnacentral:rRNA from 1 species
UACGUAGGGUGCAAGCGUUAAUCGGAAUUACUGGGCGUAAAGCGUGCGCAGGCGGUUUUGUAAGUUUGUCGUGAAAGCCCCGGGCUCAACCUGGGAAUUGCGAUGAAGACUGCAAGGCUUGAAUCUGGCAGAGGGGGGUAGAAUUCCACGUGUAGCAGUGAAAUGCGUAGAGAUGUGGAGGAACACCGAUGGCAAAGGCAGCCCCUGGGUCAAGAUUGACGCUCAUGCACGAAAGCGUGGGGAGCAAACAGG